rnacentral:rRNA from 1 species
GAAUUUUAUAUAAGUAGAUUAUUUAAUUAAGUUUUAUAAAUAGUUUAAAUUAUAUUUAAUUGGGAGGAUUGUUAAAUUAAAAGAACUUUAAUUAAGUUUUAAAAUAUUAAUUAAUAGAUUUUAGAAUGGUUAUUAAAUUAAAUAAGAAUUAAUUACCUUAGGGAUAACAGCGUAAUAUUUUUAGAGAGUUCAUAUUAAUAAAAGUGUUUGC